rnacentral:misc_RNA from 1 species
UUUUUGGAUGGCGUUGGAU